CCUACGGGAGGCAGCAGUGAGGAAUAUUGGUCAAUGGACGAGAGUCUGAACCAGCCAAGUAGCGUGAAGGAUGACUGCCCUAUGGGUUGUAAACUUCUUUUAUAUGGGAAUAAAAUGUUCCACGUGUGGGAUUUUGUAUGUACCAUAUGAAUAAGGAUCGGCUAACUCCGUGCCAGCAGCCGCGGUAAUACGGAGGAUCCGAGCGUUAUCCGGAUUUAUUGGGUUUAAAGGGAGCGUAGGUGGAUUGUUAAGUCAGUUGUGAAAGUUUGCGGCUCAACCGUAAAAUUGCAGUUGAAACUGGCAGUCUUGAGUACAGUAGAGGUGGGCGGAAUUCGUGGUGUAGCGGUGAAAUGCUUAGAUAUCACGAAGAACUCCGAUUGCGAAGGCAGUUCACUGGACUGCAACUGACACUGAGGCUCGAAAGUGUGGGUAUCAAACAGGAGUAGAUACCCGUGUAGUC
rnacentral:rRNA from 1 species